AGUAGGUUCAGUCUCAGGCUUGAGUAAACCUUUUUCAUCAUCUAAAGGAAUUGGGGAAGGAGAAGGAGAACCUUGUGGAGGUUCAUGUGAAGCUGAUUUCAACUCCACACUUUUAUCACUAGGGGCUGCUUCAGUCAGAUGUUGCUUUGGACUGGACCUCAGGUUCCCAUCAUUAUCAUUAUGGGCUGCCUCCACUUGAGAGCUUGCCUUCAACUCCACGCUUUUAUUAUCACUGGGGGCUGCUUCAGUAUGAUGUUGCUUUGGACUGGACCUCAAGUUCACAUCAUUACCAUUAGGAGCUGCCUCAGCCUGAGGGUUUUGAGGACUGGUCUUCAACCCCACACUGUCAUCAUUAAGAACUGUUUCAGUCUGAGAUUGUUCAAUGUUGGUCUUCAACUCUGCACUAUUAUCGUUGGGAACUGUCUCAGUCUUAGGUUGUUGAGUAUUGGCCUUGAACUCAGCAGUGUUAUCAUUUAUGGCUGCAUCAGUCUGCGAUUGUGGAGGAUCGCUCACGAUGUUAUCAGUGGGGGCUGCCUCAGUCUGAGAUUUUUGAAGAUUAGACUUCAAUUGCAAGCCAUUAUCACUGGAGGGUGUCUCAAAGUGAAAUUGUUGUGGGCGGGACUUCAAUUCCACAAUAUUAACCUUGGGAGCUGCAGAUAGAAGAUUACCAUUUUCAGAGGGGCAUGGCUCAUCCUGGUCCCUGGGGACCGGGCGAGUAGGAGAAGCAUGGUCAAGUUGUUCAACUGGAACUUGCUGUGCUUCAAGCGGCACGUCAGUGGCCGGAGAAUGUGGCAGUGGCUUAGCAGAUUCAUCCUCAUUUUCUGUGGCAUUGCCCAUCUCUAGUUCUGCAAGGGAAAGGAAACAGACGGUUUCAGGAGAAGGGAAAGAAGCUUAGGCUUCAAUGAAGAAGAAGAAGAACCCUA
rnacentral:misc_RNA from 1 species